GCCCAAAUAGCUUAGGCGGUAGAGCAUAGGUUUGAAGCACCUCUGGGGACAGUUCGACUCUGUCUUUGGGCA
rnacentral:tRNA from 1 species